rnacentral:lncRNA from 1 species
ACUCUGACAACCUAAAAGAUGUAAAUGAAGCCUUUGCAGAGCCCCAUUUUAAUGCUCUAAUCUGACCUCCACAAGACCCAGAUGCAACCUAAAGUAUUCUGCCAAGACAGCCAAGAGGAGACCCAACUCUACGGCAGGAGACAGCACACUAGACCAGGGUGUGAAAUAGCCUGGGGCUCAGCCAGUCGCCUGUAGAUGUGGACAACUCCCACUUCCCAAAUAGAUUAUUCCAAAGCAAGAAAUACACAUCAGUUCCAGACGGCUUGAAAAAUGCAGCUCCUAAUUUACUCAUCCUUAGGUAUGAAUCUCUCCACAGAAGCCUCUUAUCUUUCCAUCUAUGGCUGUUUCUCCCAAGUAGUAGCCCUGGUGCUGGAGCCCGGCGUUGAGCCGUCUGGUGAGGAUGCCAGAUGGCUUCUUCUUCCCAGGGAUGGCCACAUUCGUCCCAUAUGGGUUAAGCUUGUGGACUUUGGUUUUUAUUACAUUAUGUUUAUAGUACCUUAAUUUUUAAAUGGCUUCCAGUUUUUGUUAGACAUAAGGGAAGUGCAAUAAAACACUUGGAAUUAC